rnacentral:rRNA from 1 species
CCCCCUACGGGAGGCAGCAGUGAGGAAUAUUGGUCAAUGGGCGGGAGCCUGAACCAGCCAAGUCGCGUGAAGGAAGAAGGUACUUAGUAUUGUAAACUUCUUUUGUCGGGGAACAAAGGCGGAGACGCGUCUCCGGAUGAGUAUACCCGAAGAAAAAGCAUCGGCUAACUCCGUGCCAGCAGCCGCGGUAAUACGGAGGAUGCGAGCGUUAUCCGGAUUUACUGGGUGUAAAGGGCGUGUAGCCGGGCUGACAAGUCAGAUGUGAAAUCCGGGGGCUCAACCCCCGAACUGCAUUUGAAACUGUU